GACGAACGCUGGCGGCGCGCCUAAUACAUGCAAGUCGAACGGGUCUCCUUCGGGAGGUCAGUGGCGGACGGGUGAGUAACACGUGGGUGACCUGCCCCGAAGUGGGGAAGUAACGCUGCGAAAGCAGCGCUAAUACCGCAUAUGCUUAACGGUCCAAUCUGUUAAGCAAAGCAGCAAUGCGCUUUUGGGAGGGGCCUGCGGCAGAUUAGCUAGUCGGUGGGGUAAUGGCCACCGAGGCGACGAUCUGUAGCUGGUCUGAGAGGAUGACCAGCCACACUGGGACUGAGACACGGCCCAG
rnacentral:rRNA from 1 species